AUACGUAGGGGGCGAGCGUUGUCCGGAAUGAUUGGGCGUAAAGGGCGCGUAAGCGGCUUUGCAAGUCAGUAGUGGAAGUCCUUUUUUCAAGGAUGGACGUGCUACAGAAACUGCGGUGCUUGAGUGCAGGAGAGGUUAUCGGAAUUCCCGGUGCAGCGGUGAAAUGCGUAGAGAUCGGGAGGAACACCAGUGGCGAAGGCGGGUAACUGGACUGCAACGGACGCUGAGGCGCGAAAGUGUGGGGAGCAACAAGGUUUAGAUCCCCUGGUGGCCCACGCCGUAAACGAUGAAUACUAGGUGUGGGGGGACUGCCCCCCUCCGUGCCGCAGUUAACACAAUAAGUAUUCCACCUGGGGAGUACGGCCGCAAGGUUGAAACUCAAAUGAAUUGACGGGG
rnacentral:rRNA from 1 species